UACGGAGGGUGCAAGCGUUAUCCGGAUUCACUGGGUUUAAAGGGUGCGUAGGAGGGCAGGUAAGUCAGUGGUGAAAUCUCCAAGCUUAACUUGGAAACUGCCGUUGAUACUAUCUGUCUUGAAUAUUGUGGAGGUGAGCGGAAUAUGUCAUGUAGCGGUGAAAUGCUUAGAUAUGACAUAGAACACCAAUUGCGAAGGCAGCUCACUACUCAAUCAUUGACUCUGAGGCACGAAGGCGUGGGGAGCGAACGGG
rnacentral:rRNA from 1 species